GUGGGGAAUCUUGCGCAAUGGGCGAAAGCCUGACGCAGCCAUGCCGCGUGAAUGAUGAAGGUCUUAGGAUUGUAAAAUUCUUUCACCGGGGACGAUAAUGACGGUACCCGGAGAAGAAGCCCCGGCUAACUUCGUGCCAGCAGCCGCGGUAAUACGAAGGGGGCUAGCGUUGCUCGGAAUUACUGGGCGUAAAGGGCGCGUAGGCGGACAGCUUAGUCAGAGGUGAAAGCCCAGGGCUCAACCUUGGAAUUGCCUUUGAUACUGGCUGUCUUGAGUUUGGGAGAGGUGAGUGGAACUCCGAGUGUAGAGGUGAAAUUCGUAGAUAUUCGGAAGAACACCAGUGGCGAAGGCGACUCACUGGCCCAAUACUGACGCUGAGGCGCGAAAGCGUGGGGAGCAAACAGGAUUAGAUACCCCUGUAGUCC
rnacentral:rRNA from 1 species